rnacentral:rRNA from 1 species
UAGUUUGAUCCUGGCUCAGGAUGAACGCUAGCGGCAGGCCUAAUACAUGCAAGUCGGACGGUAUCCCCUCUUCGGGGGGGAGAGAGUGGCGCACGGGUGCGUAACGCGUAUGCAACCUGCCCCUUACAGGGGGAUAGCUCCCGGAAACGGGGAUUAAUACCCCAUGUUCCGUUCUUCCGGCAUCGGGAGAACGGCAAAGCCUCCGGGCGGUAGGGGAUGGGCAUGCGUAGGAUUAGCUAGUUGGCGGUGUAACGGACCACCAAGGCGGCGAUCCUUAGGGGUUCUGAGAGGAAGGUCCCCCACACUGGCACUGAGAUACGGGCCAGACUCCUACGGGAGGCAGCAGUAGGGAAUAUUGGGCAAUGGGCGGGAGCCUGACCCAGCCAUGCCGCGUGCAGGAGGACGGCGUUCUGCGUUGUAAACUGCUUUUAUACGGGAAGAAAACGCCACCGCGGUGGAACCUGCCUGUACCGUAUGAAUAAGCACCGGCUAACUCCGUGCCAGCAGCCGCGGUAAUACGGAGGGUGCAAGCGUUGUCCGGAUUUAUUGGGUUUAAAGGGUGCGUAGGCGGCCUUUUAAGUCAGCGGUGAAAGUCUGUGGCUCAACCAUGGAACUGCCGUUGAUACUGGUGGGCUUGAGUGCUGAUGGGGUACAUGGAAUUUAUGGUGUAGCGGUGAAAUGCAUAGAUACCAUAAGGAACACCGA